rnacentral:lncRNA from 1 species
CUAGUACAUAUAGCCUAACAGGCGGCCAGGGACUUAAUUUGUAAAUAAUAAAUCUUAUGGGAACUGAAAUCUUUUAGUUUGCGAUUUCAUCUGUGUGACUGCGUAUCGAUCGAUGCACAAGAAUGUAUGUCGAUCGAUAGUAAGUGAUUAAGAUCGACCGAUGUUGCUCUUCAAGUGUCGAUCGAUUUUCCUUGCGUAAAAGCAUUCCAAAAUGUCCCAAAAGUAUCAUUCCCUUCCAUCAGGUGAAUAAACCUGUAUUUGCUUUGAAAAGAUUCUAAAACAUGAUUAAUACAUCUUAAAACCUUUAUAUACCAUGUAUAAAAGCAGGUGAAAAUCAUGGUAUAUCAACUCCCCCAGACUUAUCUUUUGACGUGUCCUCAAGUUAAACCAAUAGACAAUCUCUCUGGAAGAGGGUUGAAAACAUCAAGGACUCACAGAUUUGAAAUAUUGAAGUUAUCACCUCUAUAAUAUUGCAUUCCACAUCUAAGGUUCCUUUUUACAGAUAUACAUUUUGCAAUAUCCUAGCUUAGCAACCAAAAUCAUCUAGCCAACAAUCUUAACUAAUCUUAUUAUCAAUCUCCUCAACCAACCUCAUUUCUUAAUGUAAAAAGUGUAGGCUUUACCUUAGGAGUAUCGAUCACAAGAUGCAAGGAUUUCAGACAAGUAUCUGGAGCUACAGGUAAAAGUUAGUUCCUAGUUUCUCUCUCUCUAAAUUUCUCUCUUGGGUCAAAGUCUGCUUCCUUUGCGAAAGCGAGCCUUGAAGAUUGCCGACUCCAAGUCCCGUUUCGAACUUUUUUAUUUGAGUCUUUAUGAAUCAAGCCUUAAUGGUUUUAGCCACCAAAUCCUGUUCAGACUCAUCCUAAUUAAACAAUAGAUCUUACUCUCUUUUUUUUUGUAUAUAUAUAUAUAUAUUUUUUUUUAUUUACACUCUAUAACUAAUCUAGGGUCGAAAUCUAGAGAGAGAAAAUGUGAUAAAUAAUCUAAACCAGGCGUUACCUUCCAGACUUGUCUGAAAAAUCCGAUCCCAUGUAUAUCAAGCCCCAAAACAAGCAGUGAAGUCAGGUUAGUGUUGGAGGUUAGCUUCGGUUCUUUCUAACAAGUUAGCAAGUGUGCAUAGUUGACUGGUCGAUCCACUUUAGCAUCUAUAGUUUUAUAUGCAGUCAGUAAAUCUAGAAUGGUGCUAGAAAGUGGUUAGACAUUCAAGUAGAAAUCAUUAGUUCAUAAUCCCCUUCUUGACUCAAUAAAAUAAUAUAUUUUAUUUUUUAUUUUUAUUUUAUUUUAUUUUUAUUUUAUUUUAUUUUUUUAUUUUUUUUAAAAAAGAUUUUUGACAAAAACUCGAGAAAAUGGUGUUAGUAACUACCUCCCCCAGACUUAAAUUGCACCGACUCGGUGCAAAGUGUCCAAGGGUAGGUAAAAUCAAGUCAGAUGUUUUGAGAAUGUUAGAGCAAAAAUGAAGUACAUAUCCGUACUACACAUCGAUCGAUGUAAUCCUCUCCAUAUCAAUCGAUGUUACUCGCUUAGAAUCGAUCGAUGUAAUCCUCUCCAUAUCGAUCGAUGGCGAAGCGCAGAUAUGUUCGCAUGUGCUUGGAGUCAAAAUCGAUGUUCCUUGCCUAAUGUUUAGACAAUCAAGCAUAAGAAAUAAUAAGCAUCCUCAAACAUAAAA